rnacentral:lncRNA from 1 species
CUCAAUGCUUAGUUGUUGACCAUAACUUGUUUGAUUAAAUGUUAGUGUUUUCGUUUACUAUCUUAGCUUACUUUGUUCCUCGUAAAUUGUUUCAAUUAAUUGUAAACUCUAUUCUUAUUCUAGCAUGAGAUUAUCUCUAAUUAUAAAGUAAGCUAACGGUGAACUUAAUGGUGACGCAAAAGCAUCCUAUGUUGGAAUGCCAUGGAUUUGUGCAUGCAUCAUUUGUGGUUUUGCAGACCGAAGUGAAGGUAUAUAUCUAACUUUUAAGUGUUUUUUAUAUCAAUAUAUCAUAUGAUUAUUUUCACAUUGUUACAAGUUCAACUUGCAUUGAGGGAAUUGGAAAAUUUGAAAUAAGCUUGGAAGGAUACAUUUUCACAUACUCAUGGUGAGUGAUUCUUAGAACAUUUUUUAGUCAGGAUUCUCAAUAUUUUAGUUAAUUGAUCCUAAGAAUAUAAAAAUAUGUCCAUUUCUACAUUUUGAUUGCCUUUUGUUUAUAUUUCUAGUUUCAAUUGAACUCAAGUAAUACAUUCCAGUGAAAGUUUUUCAUUGCAUUCCUAAGAUACUUACUAGCCACAAUAGCGCAAUGUUAGAUAGAUUAAUAGCUUCUAUGUAAUUUUGUUUAUGUCUUCCAUAUUUUUCAACAUUGAUGUAAUGUAGGUACAAAUUUGAGGUGAUUGAGUUUCUUUGAAUCCUUUUUAAAAGGUGGCAAAGCUAACUAUUUUAAGUCUGUUUUGGUGCUAAAUUUGAUUAUGAAAGUUUAACUUUUGCCAAAAUAGAAAACAAAAUAGAUGGAGAGCAUAGAGCGAAAGCUUCAAAUCCAUAUUCACAGGAGCUCCUCAAAGUAAGCUUGGAAGGUUAGCUUUGUCUCCCUAACAUUUUUUCUGGGUAAUUUCCAUGUAGUGCAAUAACAUUUCUUAUUGUUGUGAAGUAUUGUUAUUUUCACUUGGUUCUUGUGGGAUGGAAACCUAAGAAGUGGACAAUAAAUCAAUGGUUCUUGUUUCUUGGCAUUUAUGUAAAUUCAUUAAUGUUUUUUGUCUUUCACAUUUUGUUUAUUAUGUGUGAAUACUUGUGUUUAAUACCAAAUGAUUUGUCUUUCACAUUUUUCUGUGUUGUUGUUAAUUUGUUGAACACUUGAGCUACAAGACUUGUCAUAGCAGCAAUAAAUCCAACUAUUCCAUAAAUGCAAGACUUGUCAUAGUAGCAAUAAAUCCAACUAUUCCAUAAAUAGUUCAAUUAGCUAAGGUGUAAUUUAAUUUUAUCAAAUAGUUCUAUUUGAUGGGCUAUCUAACAAACUCAUACUUUUCUACUCUUGCUUUAUGAAUUUCCAACUACUUUAUAAGCUUCAAACAACCAUAAGUUUUGUAUGAAAGAGAACUUCACAUUUUAAUAUCUUCUGUACUUUUAGAUAGCAGUAAAUCCUAAUGAAUAAUUUUAUAUUUUCCUUCUUCAUUAAAUAGGGCAUCUUUUAAUUUGUAUAAUUUUAUGGUACCAAAAUAGUUCACUAACUUGUAUUCUUUUUAUUAUUUGUAG